rnacentral:rRNA from 1 species
AUUCCAGCUCCAAUAGCGUAUAUUAAAGUUGUUGCAGUUAAAACGCUCGUAGUCGGAUUUCGGGGCCUGCCUGCCGGUCUGCCGAUGGGUAUGCACUGGCAGGCGCGUCCUUCCUUCCGGAGACUGUCCCUACUCUUAACUGAGCGGGGUCGGGAGACGGAUCGUUUACUUUGAAAAAAUCAGAGUGUUUCAAGCAGGCAGCUCGCUCUUGCAUGGAUUAGCAUGGGAUAAUGAAAUAGGACUUUGGUUCUAUUUUGUUGGUUGGAGGCCAAGGUAAUGAUUAAUAGGGAUAGUUGGGGGUAUUCAUAUUUAAUUGUCAGAGGUGAAAUUCUUGGAUUUAUGAAAGAUGAACUCAUGCGAAAGCAUUUACCAAGGAUGUUUUCAUUG